rnacentral:rRNA from 1 species
UAUACAACUUUCAGCAACGGAUCUCUUGGCUCUCGCAUCGAUGAAGAACGCAGCGAAAUGCGAUAAGUAAUGUGAAUUGCAGAAUUCAGUGAAUCAUCGAAUCUUUGAACGCACCUUGCGCCUCUUGGUAUUCCGAGAGGCAUGCCUGUUUGA